AGGAGUUACAGCCUAUUUGGUUCAGUCACUUCUUUUGCAGAUGAAAAUACAUCAUCUUAAGAAUUUUUCUGGAGAGAGCAGAAAAAAAUAACGCCUGUUCCCAAAGGAGGCAGGGUGCUCUCCAUCUGCACGCAUCUCAGCAUCUCUUACCUGGAGUCCAGAUCCAGACACUGAGCUAAGGAACAGAAGAGCUUCCCAGAGGUGAAUCCUAAGAUGUAAAUUGGAUGCAAAGACUAAGAAAUGUGAACAGAUUGAACAAACAGAUUGACUCUCAAGGACAAAGCUUGAAUUUAUAUAUCCUGGAAUCACAGCACCAUGAGUUUGUAAAGUUAACUAAAUCUUAACUUUCUGCAACUGCUUUCUAUAUCAAGGUCUUCCACAUUCAGGGGACAAUAAACAAUUUAACUCUUUAAUCACUAACCCUCAAUUAAAAAGGGAAGAAACAUGAAUCCUUCAUUUACCGACCUUCUCUGAUAUGUUCAAUUCCUCCAUACCCACUUCUACAGGCCAUUAAAACACACACAUGGAAGAGAGUCAAGGAUUGAAAAAUAAUUGUAGCAGGCUGGCAAACUGGCUUAUAAGUAAUUUAAAAGCUCU